rnacentral:rRNA from 1 species
AGAGUUUGAUCAUGGCUCAGGAUGAACGCUAGCUACAGGCUUAACACAUGCAAGUCGAGGGGAAACGACAUCGAAAGCUUGCUUUUGAUGGGCGUCGAUCGGCGCACGGGUGAGUAACGCGUAUCCAACCUGCCCACCACUUGGGGAUAACCUUGCGAAAGUAAGACUAAUACCCAAUGACGUCUCUAGAAGACAUCUGAAGGAGAUUAAAGAUUUAUCGGUGAUGGAUGGGGAUGCGUCUAAUUAGCUUGUUGGCGGGGUAACGGCCACCAAGGCGACGAUCAGUAGGGGUUCUGAGAGGAAGGUCCCCCANAUUGGAACUGAGACACGGUCCAAACUCCUACGGGAGGCA